rnacentral:rRNA from 1 species
GACAGAGGUGGCGAGCGUUGUUCGGAUUUAUUGGGCGUAAAGCGAACGCAGGUGGUUUGGUAAGUCAGGGGUGAAAGUCCGCAGCUUAACUGCGGCACUGCCUCUGAUACUGCCUUUCUUGAGUGCAUGAGGGGGAAGCGGAAUUCCGAGUGUAGAGGUGAAAUUCGUAGAUAUUCGGAGGAACACCGGUGGCGAAGGCGGCUUCCUGGCAUGCAACUGACACUCAUGUUCGAAAGCGUGGGUAGCAAACAGGAUUAGAUACCCUGGUAGUCCACGCCCUAAACGAUGGGCACUAGGUGUGGGAGGUAUCGACCCCUUCCGUGCCGCAGCUAACGCAUUAAGUGCCCCGCCUGGGGAGUACGGCCGCAAGGUUGAA